UACGAACUGUGCGAACGUUAUUCGGAAUCACUGGGCUUACAGGGUGCGUAGGCGGCUUAGCAAGUCAGGUGUGAAAGCCCCCCGGCUCAACCGGGGAACUGCGCUUGAAACUGCUGAGCUCGAGUCAGCUAGAGGUACACGGAACUUCCAGUGGAGCGGUGAAAUGUGUUGAUAUUGGAAGGAACACCGGAGGCGAAAGCGGUGUACUGGGGCUGGUCUGACGCUGAGGCACGAAGGCCAGGGGAGCAAACGGG
rnacentral:rRNA from 1 species